AAGAUUAUACUUUCAGGGAUCAUUUCUGUAGUUUAUUACUAGAUGAAGAUCUCUGUAUGUAUUGAGCACCAGAAGCCACAAGGAGGAGGUUCAGUGUUCUCUCUUGAGCAUGAAAUUGGAUCUUGGUAUUGCUUUACUACAACUGCAAUUGCCAGUGAUGAUUGUGCUUCUCUUCCUUUUGAGAGAAAAGACAAAGAGGAUGCAGUCUGAGGG
rnacentral:snoRNA from 1 species